rnacentral:rRNA from 1 species
UACAGAGGUCUCAAGCGUUGUUCGGAUUCAUUGGGCGUAAAGGGUGCGUAGGUGGCGAGGCAAGUCAGAUGUGAAAUCCCGGGGCUCAACCCCGGAACUGCAUUGAAACUGCCUUGCUCGAGUACUGGAGAGGAGACUGGAAUUUACGGUGUAGCAGUGAAAUGCGUAGAUAUCAGGAGGAAUACCGGUGGCGAAAGCGACUCUCUGGACGGUAACUGACGCUGAGGCACGAAAGCGUGGGGAGCAAACAGG